AUUGAACGCUGGCGGCAUGCCUUACACAUGCAAGUCGAACGGCAGCACGGGGCAACCUGGUGGCGAGUGGCGAACGGGUGAGUAAUGCAUCGGAACGUACCUUUCAGUGGGGGAUAACGUAGCGAAAGUUACGCUAAUACCGCAUAUUCUGUGAGCGGGAAAGCAGGGGAUCGCAAGACCUUGCGCUGAUUGAGCGGCCGAUGUCAGAUUAGCUAGUUGGUGAGGUAAAGGCUCACCAAGGCGACGAUCUGUAGCGGGUCUGAGAGGAUGAUCCGCCACACUGGAACUGAGACACGGUCCAGACUCCUACGGGAGGCAGCAGUGGGGAAUUUUGGACAAUGGGGGCAACCCUGAUCCAGCCAUGCCGCGUGAGUGAAGAAGGCCUUCGGGUUGUAAAGCUCUUUCGGCCGGGAAGAAAUCGUAUGGGUUAAUACCCUGUGCGGAUGACGGUACCGGCAUAAGAAGCACCGGCUAACUACGUGCCAGCCGCCGCUGUAAUAC
rnacentral:rRNA from 1 species